AUGCUUCGUCUUUGGCAGGCUCCCAGGGGGAGCGCCGCCAGGAUCAAUGAAUCUAAUGAGUUGGAACUACCGGGGAGGGGGAAUACCCGGACAGUUCAUGAGUUAGCGACGCUAGUGCAGUCGCAUUCCCCCGUUUUGGUGUUUUUGUGUGAAACUAGGCAAAAGGAAGAGAGGAUGAGGAGACUAAGAGGCCGUCUAGGCCUGAAAGGUUUUGAGUGCAUGGAUAGUAAUGGACUCAGUGGUGGUCUGGCGUUAUACUAGCAUGAAAACUGCUUGGUUGAUAUUCUUGGCAAGGAUGAUAGAUACAUUGAUAUAGCGGUGCGUUUGCAUGCCGAUGCUGAACAGUGGAGAGUGACUUUCGUGUAUGGAGAACCUUGUGUGGAGAAUAGGCAUCUUAUGUGGGAAAAGAUGCAGAACUUAUAUUCGUCGUCGGAUCUCCCAUGGCUAGUUAUAGGAGAUUUUAAUGAAUGCCUUUGGAAUUUCGAGCAUAUGUCAGACACACCAAGGCAAGAACCACAGAUGAAGGCUUUUCGUGAUGUACUGGAAACUUGUCAGCUAGUCUAUUUGGGGUUCUCGGGGAUUCCUUUUACUUAUGAUAAUAAGAGGAGUGGUGCUGCAAACGUGAAAGUUCGCUUGGAUCGGGCCGUAGCAUCAAGUGCCUGUCACAAUAUGUUUGCUUUUGCUGUUGUUACACAUGUGGUUUCGCCGUGCUCUGACCAUGUAGCUGAAGGAAAUAUGCCCUAG
rnacentral:rRNA from 1 species